UACGUAGGGUCCAAGCGUUAAUCGGAAUUACUGGGCGUAAAGCGUGCGCAGGCGGUUCUGAAAGUCAGCUGUGAAAGCCCCGGGCUUAACCUGGGAACUGCAUUUGUGACUGCACGGCUAGAGUGUGUCAGAGGGGGGUAGAAUUCCACGUGUAGCAGUGAAAUGCGUAGAUAUGUGGAGGAAUACCGAUGGCGAAGGCAG
rnacentral:rRNA from 1 species